rnacentral:rRNA from 1 species
GGGAAGCGGCGAACGGGUGAGUAACACGUAGGUGAUCUGCCCAUCAGACGGGGACAACGAUUGGAGACGAUCGCUAAUACCGGAUAGGACGAAAGUUUAAAGAUGCUCCUGGCAUCACUGAUGGAUGAGCCUGCGGCGCAUUAGCUAGUUGGUGGGGUAAAGGCCUACCAAGGCGACGAUGCGUAGCCGACCUGAGAGGGUGAACGGCCACACUGGGACUGAGACACGGCCCAGACUCCUACGGGAGGCAGCAGUAGGGAAUCUUCGGCAAUGGGCGAAAGCCUGACCGAGCAACGCCGCGUGAAUGAAGAAGGCCUUCGGGUUGUAAAAUUCUGUUAUAAGGGAAGAAAGGUGAUAGGAGGAAAUGACUAUCAAUUGACGGUACCUUAUGAGAAAGCCACGGCUAACUACGUGCCAGCAGCCGCGGUAAUACGUAGGUGGCAAGCGUUAUCCGGAAUUAUUGGGCGUAAAGAGCGCGCAGGUGGUUAAUUAAGUCUGAUGUGAAAGCCCACGGCUUAACCGUGGAGGGUCAUUGGAAACUGGUUGACUUGAGUGCAGAAGAGGGAAGUGGAAUUCCAUGUGUAGCGGUGAAAUGCGUAGAGAUAUGGAGGAACACCAGUGGCGAAGGCGGCUUCCUGGUCUGCAACUGACACUGAGGCGCGAAAGCGUGGGGAGCAAACAGGAUUAGAUACCCUGGUAGUCCACGCCGUAAACGAUGAGUGCUA